AGAUUUGAUAUGGAUUGCAUAAGCGAAUUCUUUUCUUGCUCAGGAACUAUAUUUACAUCAGUGUAAAUGGUGGGUGGUGGCUGUAAAUUCAACAAUUCAGAUUCCAUUACCAUCCUAUCAACGCAAUCCAGAGGAGCGUAUGGAGCGGAGGAGAAGAGGCAAAGGCAAGAAUCAAAGUGGAGCUCUGACGCUUUUCUUAAGCUGACAUGGAGGGGUCUCUGUUGGUUAUGUUUUCAAGUCCAAAAUGAUGUGGUUGUACAAUUUUUUAAAUAUUAUGGAUUCAGGGAUCGUAAUUGAUGUGAUUGUAAUUGUAUAGUACCUACCACUUUCAGAAAAAAAAAAAAAAAAUCAAUUGUAACUGCACAGUAACCAAACCCACCGUGAAUUCUGGAAAAGCCAUUGUUUAUUUUGUUCUAAUUUCUAUGGUCA